GGCUUCGUAGUCUAGAGGCACGAUACUUGCUUUGGGUUCAACAAAUAUCUCAAUAUGCAAGUGGCCCGGGUUCGAAUCCCGGCGAAGCCC